GGGGUUGUGACUCAGUGGUAGAGUACUCGCCUAUCUCGUGCGAGGCCCUGGGUUCGAUCCUCAGCACCACA
rnacentral:tRNA from 1 species